GACGAACGCUGGCGGCGUGCUUAACACAUGCAAGUCGAACGAUGACGACCGAGCUUGCUCGGUCUGAUUAGUGGCGAACGGGUGAGUAACACGUGAGCAACCUGCCCUUCACUCUGGGAUAACCUCGGGAAAUCGGGGCUAAUACCGGAUAUGAGCUCCUGUCGCAUGGCGGGUGUUGGAAAGUUUUUCGGUGAAGGAUGGGCUCGCGGCCUAUCAGUUUGUUGGGGAGGUAGUGGCUCACCAAGGCGAUGACGGGUAGCCGGCCUGAGAGGGCGACCGGCCACACUGGGACUGAGACACGGCCCAGACUCCUACGGGAGGCAGCAGUGGGGAAUAUUGCACAAUGGGCGAAAGCCUGAUGCAGCGACGCCGCGUGAGGGAUGACGGCCUUCGGGUUGUAAACCUCUUUCAGCAGGGAAGAAGCGAAAGUGACGGUACCUGCAGAAGAAGCGCCGGCUAACUACGUG
rnacentral:rRNA from 1 species